rnacentral:lncRNA from 1 species
UUCCUUCCUUUGUAUUAUAAUUUUUUUUCACAGCACGGCCAUGCGGCUUUCAUGGCUCCCUGUUGGGAUUCUCGACAACGGUAGCUUAUUCAGUGGACGGCAGAGCUGGGAUAGUUGCAUGGAAAAGUGGGCAGAUGUUUUAAACUCACUUUUAUAGGAACAAGAUUUUUCAGCAAAUGCGUGGUUUUUCUCGUAAGCUCCCCCCCCGAAAUCAACGAGGGCCGCAUGAAUCCAGAACUGUGGAACGCCACUAAUUCCCUUCUUCUGCUUCUCUCUAAUACAGAUGGAGAGCCACAGCUGGCCUCCACAGUCAUUGACACUAUCCUGGCCGGCUUGCCGGGACCUCGCGGCGCACCAGGACCCAUUGGACAACCGGGCCCACCUGGAUCAUCAGGCCCCAAAGGGGCCCCGGGAUCUGUUGGCACUCCUGGCUUACAGGGCAUCCCUGGCUCCCCAGGACAGCCUGGACCGAAAGGAUCCAAAGGAGACCGAGGAGAAAAGGGACAAGUGGGUCUGACCGGUGAAAGAGGCAUUAAGGGAAUUCCUGGUGAACCUGGCAAGAAAGGCGAAGAAGGAGACAAAGGUGCAGAUGUAAGAAUCCAAGCAAUUCUUCUUUAUAGUUACGGCCAUUCUGUUCCCACACAAUCUCUCCCUCCCUUAAUGGAUACAAUAGGAGGGAGGGGCCCAGGCACACACCUCCAAUGAAAAUCCAUUUCAUAGGAGGGGGCCACCACGAAGAAGGUCUCUCCUCUCUCAGUGGGGCCACCCUCAGCCACGAGGCCCUGGGAGGACCAGGUGAAACGGGUGGAGCUGUUCUUUGUGAGAGAUGCUACUACAGUAGUACCUUGACUUACGAACUUAAUCUGUAUUGGAAUGGCGUUCAUAUGUCGAAAAGCCUCCAAUGAAAAUCCAUUUCAUAGGAGGGGGCCACCACGAAGAAGGUCUCUCCUCUCUCAGUGGGGCCACCCUCAGCCACGAGGCCCUGGGAGGACCAGGUGAAACGGGUGGAGCUGUUCUUUGUGAGAGAUGCUACUACAGUAGUACCUUGACUUACGAACUUAAUCUGUAUUGGAAUGGCGUUCAUAUGUCGAAAAGGUGGUCCUGUUCGUAUGUCGAAAAGUUUGUAAGUCGAGGAAAACCUUUCCAUAGGAAUGCCUUGGAAACCAUUUAAUCCG